rnacentral:siRNA from 1 species
UGGCUUCUGGCCCACCGUGCC